GACGAGGAUGAGAACCUCCGGGGGCAAGAGGUUCGACCCGAGCGCAGCGAGAGAACGUUGCUUCAGCAACGGCCCGCAGGGCGAGCCACGCAGUGGCGAGUCAUCCUCUAUCACCGACCA
rnacentral:sRNA from 1 species